rnacentral:rRNA from 1 species
AUUGAACGCUGGCGGCAGGCCUAACACAUGCAAGUCGAACGAGCGGCGGACGGGUGAGUAAUGUCUGGGAAACUGCCUGAUGGCGGGGGAUAACUACUGGAAACGGUAGCUAAUACCGCAUACCAUCCGAUUUGCCCAGAUGGGAUUAGCUAGUAGGUGGGGUAACGGCUCACCUAGGGGACGAACCCUAGCUGGUCUGAGAGGAUGACCAGCCACACUGGAACUGAGACACGGUCCAGACUCCUACGGGAGGCAGCAGUGGGGAAUAUGGCACAAUGGGCGAAAGCCUGAUGCAGCCAUGCCGCGUGUGUGAAGAAGGCCUUCGGGUUGUAAAGCACUUUCAGCGGGGAGGCGUUACCCGCACAAGAAGCACCGGCUAACUCCGUGCCAGCAGCCGCGGUAAUAC